CAUAUGACCUGCUUUUGCUUUGUGACUGCAGGUUUCCUGUUUCCUUCUGUGCAGGAUAACUUGAGGCGUUUCUGGGAGAGGUUUGUGAGAGAGGAUCUGUUGAGGCAGCACUUUGAAUCAACAAGAAGCCCAGAGUUACAUGAAGUUAACAUGCAGGAUCACAUGUUCAGGCUCCACAUGUUAAAUUAAGUAAUUAUGUGUAUCGUUGAUCACACGUAUAAUAUCAGGAUCCAGUGAAAGUAGUUCUGGCAUGUGACAAGGAUUCCUCCUGGGCGUCUCCUAGGUGAGGUGUACUGGCCGUGUCCAACCAGGAGGAGGCCCUGGAUCAGACCCAGGACCUGAUGGAGUUCCCCUGGAUAAGCUGGAGGAGGUGGCUGUGGAGAGG
ensembl:lncRNA